rnacentral:rRNA from 1 species
UACAGAGGUCUCGAGCGUUAGGCGGAAUUACUGGGCGUAAAGCGUGCGUAGGCGGUUGGUUAAGUCGGAUGUGAAAGCCCUGGGCUCAACCUGGGAAUGGCACUCGAUACUGGCCAGCUGGAGUAAGGUAGAGGAUGGUGGAAUUCCCGGUGUAGCGGUGAAAUGCGUAGAGAUCGGGAGGAACAUCUGUGGCGAAGGCGGCCAUCUGGACCAUUACUGACGCUGAGGCACGAAAGCGUGGGGAGCAAACAGG